rnacentral:rRNA from 1 species
CCCUUAGAUGUUCUGGGCAGCACGCGCGCUACAAUGGUCUUCGCAAACGGAUGCAUUCUCGAAGGAGAAUGCCAAUCUUGGAAUCUAUGCCUUGGUCGGGACAGUUGCUUGCAAUUUUUCGACUCGAACCAGGAAUUCCUUGUAAUCGUGAUUCAUCACAUCACGAUGAAUACGUCCCUGCCCUUUGUACACACCGCCCGUCGCUCCUUCCGAUCGAAGAGUUAGGUGAAUUGUUUUGAUCGAUAAGAUUUGACUAUGGUCAACUCUCGUUGUGAAAUUCUGUGAAUCUGACUGUUUAGAGGAAGGAAAAGUCGUAACA